CCUUUUAUCCCCAAAUUUCCCCCCUAAAAUCGGCAUCCUAAAAAAAAGUAUUUUUUCCCCGUUUUCCUAAUCCUCUUUUUUAAAAUGAAAAAUAAAAAAAAAUCUUUUCUCUUUAAUUUACUUUGGUUGAUAUAAUUUUCAGCUAGUUGUUUCUUUUCUUUCUCUGUUUGAUUACCGAGAAAUUACUUUUUUUCCUCUCUGUAAACAAACGGGAUGGAUUUUGGAUUCGCAUUAGCCGUUUAAUUGAUUGGGUUGGAGCUGAAAAUGAAACCUUACCUUAUUGGCUGUCCAACACCUUGGCACUUUUGUGUCUGCUGCAGAAAAAUUUGCGAUCAAAUGGCUUUUUGUCUGCUGGCACUCAAUGCUCUGGGGGAAACACUGGUUUUCUUGGGAGAGUUUCUUAUUUCCAACUUAAGGAUGCAAUUGAUAAGGAAGACUUUGAAGAAGCUACAAAGUUAAAGUUGGCUAUUGCAGAGGUUUUUUCAAAAGACAGUGUAGCUGAAAUCAUGUCUUAGUUGAAGGCCUCUAUGUUGGUGCAUUUGGCCCUUAUGGAACUGAAAUAGUUCAGCUAAGGCGUAAAUAUGGUCGCUGGAGUGAUGCAGAUGAUGAAUCUUCAGAUGUUGAGUUCUUUGAAUAUGUUGAAGCUGUGAAGCUAACCGGAGAUCUCAAUGUUCCGGCUGGCCAGUUUUUUUCAUUUUAUUGUAUCUUAGAUAAAUCUAUUGAUAGUUGUAUUUCUAGCAUGUGAGCAAUCAGUAUGCCUUUUACAUCUUUUGGUUACUCUUCGUGCCAAAAUUGGAAGGGAAAGCCGGCUCUCAAACCGUGGGUUGUAUCCAGAUGAGUUAGGAGUGGUUGCAUGUUACAAAGGUCAGGGAAGAAUAGCAGAAUUUGGUUUCCGUAACCUGCGAUGGGUCGAUGGCGAACUUCUCCAACUUAAUGGCAAGGGCAAUAUUGGACCCUAUGUCAAAGGAGCUGAUCUAGGUUUCCUUUACAUCGUGCCCGAGCAAAGUUUCCUUGUGCUACACAACCGUUUAAUAUAUAAAUAUAUUUGUAUAAAGUAUUUUAAUUUUUUUACUAAUUUAAAUAAUUUUUUUAUUUUUAUAUUUGUAAAAGAAAUUAGUUAUAAAAUAAAAAAAUUAAAUUUAGUUUGGUUCA